rnacentral:rRNA from 1 species
AGUGAACGCUGGCGGCAGGCCUAAUACAUGCAAGUCGAACGGCAGCACAGCAGAGCUUGCUCUGUGGGUGGCGAGUGGCGGACGGGUGAGGAAUACGUGGGAAUCUGCCCAGUCGUGGGGGAUAACGUAGGGAAACUUACGCUAAUACCGCAUGCGCCCUUCGGGGGAAAGCCGGGGACCUUCGGGCCUGGCGCGAUUGGAUGAGCCCACGUCGGAUUAGCUAGUUGGCGGGUAAAGGCCCACCAAGGCGACGAUCCGUAGCUGGUCUGAGAGGAUGAUCAGCCACACUGGAACUGAGACACGGUCCAGACUCCUACGGGAGGCAGCAGUAGGGAAUAUUGGACAAUGGGCGCAAGCCUGAUCCAGCCAUGCCGCGUGAGUGAAGAAGG